rnacentral:tRNA from 1 species
GAGAGUAUAGCUCAGCAGCAAAGUGCAUGCCCAGCAUGCACGAGGUCCUGGGUUCAAUCCCCAGUACCUCCA